CUAGGAUAGGCUCAGAAAUAAUCUCAGGACUCAUUUCAAAAUUCACAGCAAUCAAAGGUGUAACAUAUGAGAAACUGGAUCCAGGAUCCAACAAAGCAUACACAUCAAACUAAAAUAUACGAAGCAUACCAGUAACAACAUCGGGAGAGUCCUCCUGUUCCUGGUGGGACGGUAAAGCAUAGAAUCUAUUCUGGCGCUG
rnacentral:lncRNA from 1 species